GGAAUAUUGGACAAUGGGGGCAACCCUGAUCCAGCCAUGCCGCGUGUGUGAAGAAGGCCUUAGGGUUGUGAAGCACUUUCAGUGGGGAGAAAGGUGGUCUGGUUAAUAACCGGAUCAAUUGAUGUUACCCAACGAAGAAGCACCGGCUAACUCCGUGCCAGCCGCCGCGGUAAUACGGAGGGUGCAAGCGUUAAUCGGAAUUACUGGGCGUAAAGCGCACGUAGGCGGUUUGUUAAGCCAGCUGUGAAAUCCCCGGGCUCAACCUGGGAACUGCAUCCAAAACUGCUGAGCUAGAGUACGGUAGAGGGUGGUGGAAUUUCCUGUGUAGCGGUGAAAUGCGUAGAUAUAGGAAGGAACACCAGUGGCGAAGGCGACCACCUGGACUGAUACUGACACUGAGGUGCGAAAGCGUGGGGAGCAAAC
rnacentral:rRNA from 1 species